GGACGUUGAAAAAUAAAUUUUGAGACCAAAUUGCCCUUAAUCUUCGUCUGAUAGUAUCUAUAGCGUACGGGAGCUGCUACAAUUCUAAACCCUCCUCUGUGUGAUUCCAUCCUGUGCUGCCACUGUGUGAUUCCAUCCUCUGCUGCGUGUGUGAUUCCAUCCUCUGUUGCGUGUGUGGCGAAUCCUCUACUGCAAUUUCGAAUCCUCUAAACCAAACCCUCAUAUGUGUGAUUCCAUCCUCUGCGAUUUCGAGUAAACCCUCCCUCCUGCUUCGAAAACCAAACCCGACUGCAAUUUCAAUUUCGAGCGAAUCCUCUAAACCAAACCCUCCUGGUUUCGAUUUCGAGGUUCAUUCCAUAUUGACACUUCCAUUGUUUUCCAUGGCUGGGAGAGUGGGUGUCACAGUAAAUAAUCUGGCUAUAUGAGUACCAUUUGGAGAAAAGUGUUUACUUAACUGCUUGCUACAUACUGGUACAUUCUAUGACCGGACAGAGUAUAAAAUUUCUUAUACAUAUAGCUCUGUGUUCUCCAAUUUCCAGUCAGUCGUGAUUAGUUUCCAUCCUGAUUUGCUUUCUCUAGUGUGUACUUCAUUAACCACCCCAUUGCCCCCAAUGGGUUUCAACCCUGCUUUGUCUUUUUUGAAAUAUUCGUUUCCUUUUCCCUCCAUUAUUUCUAACCUUUUGUUUGUUUUAUUGAUUUGAUCUGGUUUCUGGGUGAAGCUCCAAAUAGCUGUUCUUAUUGUUUGCAUUUAGAUUUUAACAAGAUAAAAUGGAUAUAUGAAUUUUUAAUUGUUUAAUAGUAUUACUUACUCUAUUUCUUGCUCUCCUCGUCUGUGGAAACGGUUCAAUUAUCUCUUGUUGUUUAAUUAGCCACAUGGACGUGUACGUUGAUGAUACAAGGAAAUAGCUAGUUUGUAAUAGAGGACCAUUUUCCUUUUCAUGUGUAUAAAUGAGAUUUCUUUCAUUCUUUUCAAGAUUAUAUAGCCUCUGAAGCAGGAUAAUGUAUUGCUGCAAUUACUUUUCUCCUUGUCAAACCAAAAUAGGCCAGAUGCCAGAUUUGCUACCAUCCUUUGCUUUCUAUUGAAUUAUGUGUCCAUUCAUGAGUUUUUUUUGUAGUAAUAAAUGGUUCCUUCAAUUUUUUCCCUGCAGGAGAAGUAAAAUUUAAAGGAAAUUGUACGACCUGAGCUAAAGCCUUGCUUGUACAAGCGUCGAUGAGCUCAGAAAACUGUUUGAAGUUAAUGGGCUUGCCUCAUUUUGUUGCUCAUGCAUAAAUUCAAAAUUAGUGUCCAUACCCCAGGACUUGCAAUAUCUAUAUGGCUAUGUAGUUUCCUGAUCCUGAUGUAUCUGAUAUAACUUGUGUGCAUGUUUCAAUAUCAGUUUUGACUUUUGAUUGCGGUAUUUUCAGCUUACUGUUGUAUAUUUGCAAGUUCAUUCUGCCUUAGAAUUUAAUCAUAAACUUCCUUUUAAUUUCCUGCAUAUGUAAGUCUGUUUUUGUAGAAUAUAUUUUAUUGUGUCUGAUCA
rnacentral:lncRNA from 1 species